rnacentral:misc_RNA from 1 species
AGAGUUAAACAGUACGUGAAAUUGUUGAAAGGGAAACGAUUGAAGCCAGUCGUACCUACCGGCGGGAAAUCAACUUCUCGAGUGCUUGUCGUGGGUUGCGUUGAGCUUUACGGCCUUCGUUGCUUGCGUUAUGGUGCUUUUGGAGUGUACUUUACCGUAUGGUAGGUCAACAUCGAUUUUGAUUGUCAUAAAAUGAUCGGAGGAAUGUAGCUUUGGUUUCGAUCGAAGUGUUAUAGACUCUGGUAGAUGUGACGGUUGGGAUCGAGGAUUGCAACGAAUACCCUUUGGGCUAUCCGUCUGACCUCUGAAAGUCGCUCGGGUGUUGAAAGCGUGCUUAUAACAUUCUAGUUGGCGGUCAAAAGGUUAGAACGCGAUUACAUUCGUUAAGGAUGUUGACAUAAUGGCUUUAAACGA